GACGAACGCUGGCGGCGUGCUUAACACAUGCAAGUCGAGCGAGCGGCGAACGGGUGAGUAACGCGUGGUAACUGCCCCCCUCUCUGGGAUAACAGUUGGAAACGACUGCUAAUACCGCAUACGAUUUGAUUGCCCAGGUGGGAUUAGCUAGUUGGUGAGGUAAUGGAUCACAAAGGCGACGAUCCCUAGCUGGUCUGAGAUGAUGAUCAGCCACACUGGAACUGAGACACGGUCCAGACUCCUACGGGAGGCAGCAGUGGGGAAUAUUGCACAAUGGGGGAAACCCUGAUGCAGCCAUGCCGCGUGUGUGAAGAAGGCCUUCGGGUUGUAAAGCACUUUCAGCGAGGAGGCGUUACUCGCAGAAGAAGCACCGGCUAACUCCGUGCCAGCCGCCGCGGUAAUUC
rnacentral:rRNA from 1 species